GACGUAGGGAGCGAGCGUUAUCCGGAUUCAUUGGGCGUAAAGCGCGCGUAGGCGGCUUUGCAAGUCGGGUGUGAAAACCAGAGGCUCAACCUCUGGCCUGCAUCCGAAACUGCAUCGCUAGAGGUAGGUAGGGGAGAUCGGAAUUCCUGGUGUAGCGGUGAAAUGCGCAGAUAUCAGGAGGAACACCGGUGGCGAAGGCGGAUCUCUGGGCCUUACCUGACGCUGAGGUGCGAAAGCUAGGGGAGCGAACAGG
rnacentral:rRNA from 1 species